rnacentral:rRNA from 1 species
UACGUAGGCAGCAAGCGUUGUUCGGAGUUACUGGGCGUAAAGAGUGUGUAGGCGGUUCUCUAAGUUCCGUGUGAAAUCUCCCGGCUCAACUGGGAGGGUGCGCGGAAAACUGGAGGGCUAGAGGAUGGGAGAGGUAAGCGGAAUUCCUGGUGUAGCGGUGAAAUGCGUAGAUAUUGGGAGGAACACCAGUGGCGAAGGCGGCUCGCUGGACCGGAACUGACGCUGAGGCGCGAAAGCUAGGGGAGCAAACAGG